rnacentral:rRNA from 1 species
UACAGAGGUGGCGAGCGUUGUUCGGAAUUACUGGGCGUAAAGGGCGCGUAGGCGGCCUUCUAAGUCGGACGUGAAAUCCCUCGGCUCAACCGAGGAACUGCGUCCGACACUGGUUGGCUUGAAUUCGGGAGAGGGAUGCGGAAUUCCAGGUGUAGCGGUGAAAUGCGUAGAUAUCUGGAGGAACACCGGUGGCGAAGGCGGCAUCCUGGACCGAUAUUGACGCUGAUGCGCGAAAGCCAGGGGAGCAAACGGG